rnacentral:rRNA from 1 species
GACGAACGCUGGCGGCGUGCUUAACACAUGCAAGUCGAACGAAGUGGCGAACGGGUGAGUAACGCGUAAUCAACCUGCCCUUCAGAGGGGGACAAAAGUUGGAAACGACUGCGAAUACCCCAUACGUAUGGAGGGGAUUGCGUCUGAUUGGCUAGUUGGAGGGGUAACGCCCAACCAAGGCGAUGAUCAGUAGCCGGGCUGAGAGGAUGAACGGCCACAUUGGGACUGGGACACGGCCCAGACUCCUACGGGAGGCAGCAGUGGGGAAUCUUCCGCAAUGGACGAAAGUCUGACGGAGCAACGCCGCGUGAGGGAUGACGGCCUUCGGGUUGUAAAGCUCUGUUAAUCGGGACGCGGUACCGGAAUAGAAAGCCACGGCUAACUACGUGCCAGCAGCCGCGGUAAUUC